rnacentral:tRNA from 1 species
CAAAAAAUAGUUUAAUUAAAAUAUUAAUUUUGGAGAUUAAUGAUAAUAAUAAGAGUUAUUUUUUUUUUGA